AGGAUCUAGUGCAAACAGCUGUUGUUGCAAAGGCACUUUAUUCAACUCAUUUCACGAAAUGGAUUGAGUUGUUCCCCAUUUGUUGUAUAGAUGCAUCAAGAGUUCAUGCCAGAUUUAUGUCACAUGGGAUACAUAUUACACUCAAUCACUGUACUAUAUUUAACAGUUCCACUAAUACUCUGUUUGCUUAAUUCUGGUACUAAAGCUUUCACCCCCAUAGCAUUGUCGCACAUGCAGGCCAGCUCCCUAGAGUUACCCUUACCAUCUGCUGUAUUCCUUCUUCAAAGCUGUCAGUGCUGAANNNUGCUGAAAUAUUAUACAAACCCAGUUCAAUUAACUUGUUCCAAUGGCAAAUGAGUAUUGAUCUCUUCCCAAUCCCUGAGCACCUUAAUAUGAGACUGAGCAUCCUUCAAAAUCUCCUUGAAUGAGAAGAAACUGGGAACAUGGGCAACGGUUGUGAAGUAUGAAGGAAUCCCAGGAAGCUCAAUAUUCUUGGCAAUGUUUGUGCGAGGAUCAUAACAAGCUAAGUUGCUGUUCUUAUGAUUCACUAAUAUUUUCUCGUCCUUGAGAUACUUUAUGGGUCGAUACUGACCAAUAUAGCACACUUCAGUCCAAGAAUCUUGCACACCAUAAUCCUUCAUCACCCACAAGUGAAAAGUACUGCCAUGAUCAAUCACAAAAAGGCAACCUCCCAGCUCUCCAAUGUUCACUCUCCACUUUACCCUGUACCCACGCGAAGCAAAUUGCGGCGGCCGGCCGUACAACACCAAAGCUUUCGGUUUCUAAAUCGAAUGAGAUAAUGAAAUCCGAGGCCGAGCUAUGGCCAUCAUCAGAAACCCAGUGAAUCUUUCCAUUCAAGAACACCCCUUUAAAGAAGAAGCUAGAGGAACAGGAUUUACGAAAGCCUUCAGGGGCACACCCAAUGCUCCUCCAGAAUUUCUCACCUAGUGUAUAUACCUCAGUCAUCAUGGCCCUCCGACUAACCAACCUCACAACCUUGUACUGGUGGGUUUUAGGACAGUAACCAAACCCAGAAACAACCUGACUAUGAAUCUCUUCGUGACCCAAGCCCUCUGUUCUUGAUGGAAGGUUUAUGUACUCGCCAGUUAUUGGAUUACACACGAUAACAGGGUUGUAGAGAGGAGGCUUCCCCAGGCAAAGGAAACCAUUACAUGAAUUCAAGAUAACAAGAUCAUGCAAUGGGAGCCUAAAUUUGAGUCUGGGUACUUGAACAUCAAGAUCAGCUGCGAUUUCGUGUUCCAGACGGAGCAAACAGAGAAAUCUAGAGAUGCGAUCGCCAACGCAAAGAAGAGCAUCGACGGGUGAUGUUGAGAAGUAGCUACGAGCGAAUUGAGGGUUUGAUGUGAUUAUGUGGCGGAGCGUAGUACAUACGCACCUGCAUGAUAUGAUAUUGUCGAUGGGGAGUCGGCAUAGUAUGUCGACAAGAAUAUCCACAGGCAGCUCUGUUAUGUUAGUGGAAACUGAUGAGCCUUUGCUUGCUUUUCUUGGUAGCUUUGGCGAUGAAUCCUGAUAAUCAUUUCCAAAUCCAAAGUUUUCUUUUUCCCUUGAUUUUUCUCGAAAAGCAAACAGAGCUUUGGACAACAACAUCUUUGACGAAAGUUAAAAUGCAG
rnacentral:misc_RNA from 1 species